rnacentral:rRNA from 1 species
UACGUAGGCAGCGAGCGUUGUUCGGAGUUACUGGGCGUAAAGGGUGUGUAGGCGGUUUUCUAAGUUUGGUGUGAAAUCUCCCGGCUCAACCGGGAGGGUGCGCCGAAAACUGGGAGACUAGAGUGCGGGAUGGGAGAGUAGAAUUCCUGGUGUAGCGGUGAAAUGCGUAGAUAUCGGGAGGAACACCUGUGGCGAAAGCGGCUCUCUAGUACGGUACUGACGCUGAGACGCGAAAGCGUGGGGAGCGAACAGG